UUCAACAAAUAAAUAAAAACCCUAAUUAUAUCAUUUUAGCUCCUUUUUUUUCUCUCUCUACAAUAAAACACACGCUCUCCUUUUGUCUCUCUCUACACCGUAACCCUAAUUUCUUGAUUUUCACAUGGCGGCGGUGACUCGGGAAAGAAAUGAGAGGCCGUAUGAAGACGGAGGAGGUUAUGGGAAGUUUCCAAAAAGGCCGUUUCGAAGGAGUACGCAAACUACGCCUUAUGAUCGUCCUGCGACGGCAAUUCGAAACCCUAGUGGGAGUGGUAAUGGUUGGUUGUCGAAAUUAGUGGAUCCGGCUCAGAGACUCAUUGCUUCUGGUGCCCAAAGGCUUUUCGCUUCUGUCUUUCGUAAACGACUGCCUGCGCCUCCGGUGGUGGCUCCUCCGUCUCAGCCGCCGGAGACGGAGCGGGGGACAGAGGAAAACCGGGGAGUAAUGGAUAAGCAAAAAGGAGCCUUUUCCACAAAGGAUCUUUUCGAAACACAUAGAGCAACCACCAAUGGAUGCAGUGGUCCAAGUGAUGGUUCUGAUAUGGACGGGGUUACUGAACUUGAAGUAAUUCUAAAGCAGAAGACUUUUACCAGGUCUGAAAUUGAUCGAUUGACUGCCCUGCUGCAAUCUAAGACUGUUGAUUUUCCUACUGGAAAUGAAGAGAAGAAAUCUGAAGCGAUUGCUUCAAAAGCUAUGGUCUCUCAAGGCAAAAAGGAGUUAUUGACUACCCCUGUUAAUAAUGGGUUUGAUGGCUGCUUUAAUUCAACACCUAUUGUCAGCUCAAGUGUCCUUGAGGAGGAUGUUGGUUCCCCUACAGAGCUUGCAAAAUCUUACAUGCGUAGUAGGCCGUUAAAAGUAUCACCAUCAAUGCUAGAAUCACAGAGUCAGGCAUUAAGGGAAAAUCCAACAGUUCUGACCAACCAUACAUUUACUCCGAAAUCACCAAUGAUUUCAAUUGCGCCACGUUCUUCUGGCCAUGCUGAGUUUCCUGAGAAUGGUUUUGCGACACCAAGAUCCCGAGGUAGAUUUGCUAUAUACAGUAUGACUCGAACACCAUAUUCCAGAGUUCAUGCAACUACUGGCCUCCAGGGUACAAGAACGGCAAGUGAUGCUUUUGCUGGACCAUCAUCUUCGUUUCAGAACGCAUGGGAGAACAAUGGAUUUUCUGGAUCUAAACAAGGGGCUUCAAAGAGGAGGAGUUCUGUCCUGGAUAAUGAUAUGGGAUCUGUCGGUCCAAUACGUAGAAUUCGUCAGAAAUCUAACCUUCUGCCUAUGUCUGGUACUCUUUCUAUUCGUGGAAAUGGUAUGGUUUCUAAUGCUGCUCGAAGGCUAACCUCAACAGAGAAGCCAGUUUUAGCAGGCGAACCAUUGAAGGAUAAUGCGAAUAGCAAUGUCCAUGGUACCACUUUUACCCCUGUUCCCUCCAAGUCCAGUGAGAUGGCAUCAAAGAUAUUGCAGCAGCUUGAUGUGUUGGUCUCAUCGAGGGAGAAGUCUCCUGCCAGGUUGUCACCAUCCAUGCUACGGGGACAAGCUCUUAGAAGCUUGGAGGAUUUUGAUUCUUCGAAGUUGCUAGAAAUUGUUAAUGAUAAUAACAAGUUGGAUGCUAAGCCCAACACCUCGCUACCUGAUGCACGAGAGUCUGUGUUUAAAAUGAAAGACAAAAUUGAAGAAAAUGGUCCAAGCAAAUCCAUUCUUCCUUAUGACAAGUCAGCCUCCGCAGUAAAUGGUAUGGGCGCCACAAGUUCAAUGAAGAAUGAUGUGGCUGGAGUCAAAACAACAGCUUUUCCUGUGACGAGCACCAUUGUCCAGUCCCCUCAACAGAAGAAAAGGGCUUUCCAGAUGAGCGCACAUGAGGAUUUUCUGGAGCUUGAUGAUGAUGAUGACUACCUGAAUCGGACUGUGUCUGGUAUGUUGGCUGAAGGGCGAGAAAAGAUUGGUUCUGAAUUGGUUGAAAGAAAAACCAUUGGUGCUGAAGCUAUUGUAUUGGAGAAGUCUCCAGCUCUUUCUGAAGUCAACUCCCCAUCAACUUCUACACUCAACCAAAAAAAUGCAGGGAUUGAUGGGUCUGUGAUUGCUGAAAAGAGCAUCAGCUUUACAUCUCUAGCGACACCAUUGCCUGCCAUGACUGAUAAGCAGGCUGUAGUAAACCAGAAGUUAGCUUCAAUAUCUGAUGAAGGUGCCCAACCAAACUACUCGAAUGCUUCCCCUCAAAUAUUUAGCUCCAGGGAGAAGGUUGCUUUGCCAAAGGAACUGAAUGGCACCUCCCAAACAUUCCAUUUCAGCAAUAAAACUGGUGAUAAAGUUGCACCAUUUGCGUUUUCUUCUCCAGUCCUGAGUGACCCAUCUGUCCCAAAGCUGGGUCUAUCAUCAGAUGCCAAACCAGAGGGUUUCAGCUUUACGUCUGUUGCUACUGGUGCUACUGAGUUGGUGACCAGAGACCCUGGACUAGAUAAAACUGAAGAUAAGAGCAGUUUGAAGGAUGAGGGUUCCUUCAGGGCACCUGAAAAUGUGCCUUCUACUUCAACUUCAUCGACUGGAAGCCUGUUCUCAUUUGGCAUCACCACCAAUGGUUCAAGUCUAAAUAAUGGAUCUCUUGCAUCUACCCCAUCUUCAUAUUCCUCACCCAGUCCACCUCUACUGUCAAGUAACUUUACUGGUCAAAAUUCAUCCAGCGUCUUUGCCAACAGUGUUGCUAGAGGCAGUAUUAAUGCCCCUACCACUGCAUUUACAAUGGCAAACUUUGACGGGAAUAGCAACUUCUCUAUUUCAGCAUCAGCACCUUCCUUGACGGCUACACCUAUUUCCAAAUUUGGGUCUGUCCCAUCAACUUCAGCCUCAACAGUGCCAUCUACUACUGAUGAAACAACAGAAGCAAAAACAAAAGAACCAGGCUUUGGCAACCCAACUAGUGGAGCUGGCAGUGUUUUUGGUGGUACAUGUUCUGGAAUUACAAACACAGGCAAUAAUAUUUUUGGCAAGACCCCUGCAGCUACCAGCAAAGGAAAUAGUUUUUUUGGUGGUACAUUCCCUGCAGUUACGAGCUCAGGAAGCAGCGUUUUGAAUGCUACAUCUUCUGCAUUUACAAGCACAGGAAGUGGUCCUUUUAGCUUGAAUGCUGGGAGCUCAACUUCAGCUGCUACUAAUCAAUCUCAGGGUUUUAAUCCUUUUAGUGCUAGCAGUGCUCAGGUUUCUGCUGCUGGAACUGGUAUGGGAACUGCAACACAGACCAUGCCGAUGCAAUUUAGUUCACCUGCAUCAACUCCUUUUGCUUUGACUGGGAGUGCAGCCUUUUCUUCUGGCAAUCCCACAUUUGGCUCUUCUUCUACAUCUAAACUGUUCAGUUCUGGUGCUUCUUUUGGACUUGCCUCUUCUACUACCUCUUCAGAGUCCAUCUCUGUUAGCUCCAUCGCGAGCCCUGCAUCUACUGUCUUUGGUUCCAACUGGCAGGCCCCAAAAUCUAUGGGAUUUUCAACAUCCUCUUCUUCCUCGACUCCAUUUUCCUUUGGAGCAACUUCUAAUGCUGUUACAAGCAGCAGUGCAUCCGUGGGGUUUGCCCCCAGUGUCUCAUCUGGUCCUGCUUCCCCCUUCAGUUCACCUGCAUCCACUACUCCAUCACAGCCUGUGUUUGGCAACCCAAAUCCUGGCUUCAGGUCUGGUUCAUCUCCAUCUGGUAAUAAUGACCAAAUGAGCAUGGAGGACAGCAUGGCAGAGGACACAGUUCAGGCAACCACCCCUUCAGUUCCUGCAUUUUUCCAACAACCUGCUGCUGCCCCUGGCCCUCCAUUUGGUUUUUCUACUCCGCCAGGAGGGAAUCAGUUUACUUUGACAGGUUCAUCAGGUGCAAAUCCCUUUCAAUUUGAAAGCCAACCAAAUCUGGCUGCGCCACAGAACCCAGCUUUUCAGGCUUCUGCUAGUCGGGAGUUUAAUGCUGGAGGAAGCUUCUCGUUUGGUGCAGGUGGUGGUGACAAGCCUGGUAGAAAAUUUGUCAGAGUAAAAAAAACACAGCGCAAGCGGUGAAGACACCACAGGGCUGAAGUUUGGUUUCUUUGUUCGAUUUGAUGAGAGAUACACAGCAUGAUUUGCUGUUUCCUAGGUUGCCCACCAAUCGUUCAGUUAUACAAAGUGAACACGAUUAAAUUUUUUCCUUCCAACACGAGGGUUCAGUCAAGGACAAGCAGGCCAGCACUAACCAUUCAACCCCUAAAGUGCUAGCUGUCAUCCAUGGAUUUUAAGGUUUUCAAGAUGUAGCCAACCUCGCAAAGAGCUUCAGUUUGAUCACUAGUAAUAUCUGGUUCCAGCAUUAUUGUAAACACGGCCCUCGGGGUAAGGAACCCUACCCUCAUUUCCUUGAGCUCUACCACCCGCACCAUACUGAGGUCGUUCGCGGUUGGACUCAAACUGACUACUGGCAUAACCCCGAUGUGUUUCUCCGCCACCGGUGGAUCCUGCAGCAGCUGCAACACUAUAGCAACGGGUAUCCUGCAAACCUGUGUUUGGGUAGUGGCCCAUGGUCGAUUGCUGGUACUGACUUAAUCGAGCUUGUGAUUCCUUACGAAGAAACUCUUCUCUUCUAUUGGCUUGUUGAACUCGAAGUGCAGAAAGUUUCUCCUGGUAUCUGGUAUUGAUCUCAAUUAUUUUCUGAAGCAGCAAACACAUUGAAUGGUUAUCAUUCGGCUACUCUAUAAUAAUAAUAAAAAAUUGUAUAGGUUGAGCAAGAAAUACAAUGAAAGCAAAAGCUAUCAGGUACCGAUUAGUUAGAAAGCAAAGGGAAGAGGAAAGAUUUCAAAACCGUUCAUAACAAGAAAGUGAAAAGUUUAUAGCAUGCUAGCCAACAAUAAGCUCUUUAUAAAUUACUUUGCUCAAAUAACAAUUCAAUUUCUCCAGUCAUGCAAGCGUCAUUCAAGCUAAAAAUACCAUAGAAAUUCCUCCCUUCAACGGCCUAGAUUUAAAAUCUGUAAUAGUCAUAGUCACAAGGGAAAAGCAAGACCAAAUAAUCGAGAAAUUUGCUUCAUAGCAAGCCUCACCUCCCUAUGCCUAGCAUUUUCCACAUCCUCUGCAUCACUUUGCUCCUUUGCCAAUUUCAUUACUUCAUCAAAGAACUUCCUUUCAAGACCUUCAAAAGACAUUGGCAAUGAAUUGUCCUCAAAUCCAAGUUCCAUAUCUUGUUCAUGAGGCUGGAUUCUACUAGCUUCCUUAUUGGAUUGAUUUUCUAAACCACUUUUGGGAUCAGGUGGCGGUCCAUGGUAGUAAGAUCUUGCUCCGUUACCCCCUUGACCUGGAAAAACAAUACAAAUAUGAACAGACAUUCAUAAAACCAAACACUGCAUUCUUUUUCUCCCAGAAAAAAACAAAAUUCCCAUGGUUAUUAAGCAUGCAACCAAAAGCUUGUUCACGCAUGUAGCAUUCAAAUUACAUACAACUAUCAGUCUCCACUUUCUGAUUCUAAACCUUAAAAGCUUCAGUGCGCCACCAAACCAAUAUCCAAACUUCGAUAGGUUAGUAUUAAUCCUAACACAUCAACGCAGCUUGCAUUGUCAAAAAGUUCAUAGCUUUCUUUGAUCAACCAUGCUACACCCGAGAGGGUCACGGUAUCAACCACUUCAAACGGACAAACACAGACACUCUCACCAGUUCCACAUACCAAUUCCUUCACUUUUCAAUUCUUAACAUUAACAACUUUGACCAUAAUUUGAUACCUCAAAUAGCUUAACAUUAAUUCCUGUAUUGUCGAGAAAUUCACACCUUCCCUUCAUCUUCCACUCAAAUUCACUACCUUGACAAAACCCAGAACAACCUUAACUUCUAACCAAGACAUUACAUUCACUCAUAUACUUUAAUCAUCAAUCAAACACAAGAACAUCAUGAAAAAACAAAAAAUUCACUCACCUUCACUGAAACCAUGAGGAGGCAAUUGAUUGUGAACAUUCCGCGACUCUCUUUCCCACUGCCACUGCCCUUCAGCUUUCGAAGAUUUAUACCCAGGAUGCUGCUCUGCCUCCACAUUAGAAUACCCCUCUUGCCUUCCUCCUCCUCCUCCUCCAUAACUAUUACUCAUUGUCCCUGUAUUUCCUCUCAUUCUCUGUCCACUCCCUCCUCCAUAUGGAUUCAUACUCCCAUCCCCGUACGCCGGCGGUGGCUGCCGUUUCAUUCUUUCAAGAUUCUCUCUCUGUGCAUAGCAAAAUCCAAACAGACACAAAAACACACAAAUUAGCAACUGUUUAAUACAUCUUUUUUCAGUGAAAUAACGUUGUAUCGUAACAUAAUACCUUAGUUUACUGUACUUUGCUUUGCUUCUCUCUCUUCUUUUUAAGGAUCGAUUUAUGGGUGACCGGAGAGACACAGGAUUGGGAGCCAACCAGUGACAGUUGAUGCUAGCCCUUGAAAAAGACACCAAGUUUUCUUUAUGGGCCAUGGCCUAUUGAGCUUAAGCCCUAUUAUAUCUAGGGAUGCCUCCAUGUUAGGUGUCAGUGGUCGAGUCGGGUUUGGGUCCGUAUAGAAUCGAGUUUGAUUAAAUUAAAAUGAUCUUGUUUUAAUUA